GAUGAACGCUAGCGGCAGGCUUAAUACAUGCAAGUCGAGGGGCAGCAGGACUGUAGCCAUACAGUUGCUGGCGACCGGCAAACGGGUGCGGAACACGUACGCAACCUUCCUUUAAGUGAGGGAUAGCCCAGGGAAACUUGGAUUAAUACCUCGUAAUAUUUGAGAGUGGCAUCACUUUUUAAUUAUAGCUCCGGCGCUUAAAGAUGGGCGUGCGACUGAUUAGGUAGUUGGCGGGGUAACGGCCCACCAAGCCUGCGAUCAGUAACUGGUGUGAGAGCACGACCAGUCACACGGGCACUGAGACACGGGCCCGACUCCUACGGGAGGCAGCAGUAAGGAAUAUUGGUCAAUGGACGCAAGUCUGAACCAGCCAUGCCGCGUGGAGGAUGAAGGUCCUCUGGAUUGUGAACUUCUUUUAUCUGGGAACAAACCCAUAUUUUCUAGUGUGGUUGACGGUACCAGAUGAAUAAGCACCGGCUAACUCCGUGCCAGCCGCCGCCGUAACAC
rnacentral:rRNA from 1 species